rnacentral:tRNA from 1 species
UCCCUGGUGGCUCAGAUGGUAAAGGGUCUGCCUGCAAUGCAGGAGACCCAGGUUCGAUUCCUGGGUGGGGAA